AGGCAGUGUUGUGGGCGCUGUGGCUCGUGCAAGUUUGGGAGCCAACAGAGACGUGGCUGUGAAUCGUGGUCCCAGCGACGUUCUGAUCAGCAGUGAACUAAUCAGACUGCACUAAUAUUGCACAGAGAAUUGCCGGUUCUUGAGAAAUAUUACCAGACUCGCUGCAGACCAGAAGAUCAAAGUGAAGGGGCUGGGACGUGAAGAGAGCAAGCCAAACUGGCGGCUAAUUGUUUUUUCAGGAUUUUUCAUGUCGAAAUGCUUAUCCAAACAACGUCAAUCGCAGCACUGCC